rnacentral:rRNA from 1 species
AUUGAACGCUGGCGGCAGGCCUAACACAUGCAAGUCGAACGAGUGGCGGACGGGUGAGUAAUGUCUGGGAAACUGCCUGAUGGAGGGGGAUAACUCCUGGAAACGGUAGCUAAUACCGCAUACCAGCAGAUGUUCCCCGAUGGGAUUAACUAGUUGGUGGGGUAACGGCGCACAAAGGCGACGAUCCCUAGCUGGUCUGAGAGGAGGACCAGCCACACUGGAAAUGAGACACGGUCCAGACGCCUACGGGAGGCAGCAGUGGGGAAUAUUGCACAAGGGGCGCAAGCCUGAUGCAGCCAUGCCGCGUGGAUGAAGAAGGCCUUCGGGUUGUAAAGUACUUUCAGCGGGGAGACGUUACCCGCAGAAGAAGCACCGGCUAACUCCGUGCCAGCAGCCGCGGUAAUUC